GAUGAACGCUGGCGGCGUGCCUAAUACAUGCAAGUCGAGCGAACAGAUGAGGAGCUUGCUCCUCUGACGUUAGCGGCGGACGGGAGAGUAACACGUGGAUAACCUACCUAUAAGACUGGGAUAACUUCGGGAAACCGGAGCUAAUACCGGAUAAUAUAUUGAACCGCAUGGUUCAAUAGUGAGAGUCGGUUUUGCUGUCACUUAUAGAUGGAUCCGCGCCGCAUUAGUUAGUUGGUAAGGUAACGGCUUACCAAGGCAACGAUGCGUAGCCGACCUGAGAGAGUGAUCGGCCACACUGGAACUGAGACAGGGUCCAGACACCUGCGGUAGGCAGCAGUAGGGAAUCUUCCGCAAUGGGCGAAAGCCUGACGGAGCAACGCCGCGUGAGUGAUGAAGGUCUUCGGAUCGUAAAACUCUGUUAGUAGGGAAGAACAAAUGUGUAAGUAACUAUGCACGUCUUGACGGUACCUAGUCAGAAAGCCACGGCUAACUACGUG
rnacentral:rRNA from 1 species